rnacentral:piRNA from 1 species
GAAGAAAGACAUGGUAUUUGUUCAGCAGA